CUCUAUGACCAUGCCACCCUGAACAAGCCUGAUCCUAUCUGAUCUCGGAAGUUAAGCAGGGUCGGGCCUGGUUAGUACUUGGAUGGGAGACCUAGUUAGUACUAGGAAGACCAGGUGCUGUAGGUG
rnacentral:rRNA from 1 species